AUGGCGGCGCACGUCUUCUCCUCCGUCGAGCCACCGCUGUUCUCAGCCUCGCCGGUGGCCGGAGUUGGCGGCCGGCGACGUCGAUCCUUCCGCCCUUGCAUGGUGACGAGCCCUACCCGGGACUCCCACGCGAUGGCCGAUGGUUUUGACUUCCAGGAGGGCCUGAAGAGUGUUAAGGAAAUGCUGCAUCAAAACCAUAAGGAAAAGAGGAAGGUGAUGACUGAUAUUGAUCACCUCAAGCGCCUCUGCAUCGACCACUAUUUCCAAAACGAGAUCAAUGAUGGCAUGGAUGCGUGCUUGAAUCUUGUUGACAGUGAUGAUCUACUAGAUGCAACACUUUCCUUCAGGCUACUGAGAGAAGAUGGAUAUGAUAUUUCAGCAGAUGAGGUUCUUCAAAAGUUUGUCAAUGAAAACGAGGACUUCAACGUUGAUCAUACCAAAGACAUCAGAGGGUUGCUCAGCUUGCAGGACAUAUCACACUUGAACAUGGGAGAAGCAUCACUAUACAAGGCAAAUGACUUCUCAAGGAAACACCUCACUUCUGCAAUUAAACACUUGGACCUAAACCUUGCAAGAUAUGUGAGGCAUUCACUGGAUCAUCCCUACCAUGUGAGCCUGAUGCAGUACAAGGCUAGACACCACCUGAGCUAUCUCCAGAGCUUGCCCACUCGGAACACUGCAAUGGAGGAGCUGGCACUUGCAGACUUCAAGCUUAACAAGUUGCAGCAUCAGAUGGAAAUGCAAGAGGUUAAGAGAUGGUGGAUGGGCCUGGGAUUGGCUCAAGAAAUACCAGCUACGCGUGACCAAAUUCUUAAAUGGUACAUGUUUCCCAUGACUAUCCUCCAGGGGCAAUCCUUCUCCAGAUACCGGAUUGAGAUAACCAAAAUCAUUGCAAUUGUCAGUAUUGUGGAUGACAUCUUUGAUGUUGUUGCAACACAAGAGGAGCUUUCUCGCUUCACCGAGGCAAUCAGAACGUGGGAUCUUGCAGCUGCUGCAUCACUUCCAAGCUACAUGAGAUCAUGCUACAGUUCUCUUUAUACAAUCACAAAUGACAUCGCAGAUAUGGCUGAAAGAGAACAUGGGCUGAACCCUAUUGAUCAUCUCAAAAAAGAUUGGGCCAUGCUUUUCGAUGCAUUUUUGCUUGAGGCGAAAUGGUUGUCUGCUAAUCAUGUUCCUUCCCUAGAUGACUACCUAUCGAACGGCGUCAUCACUACAGGAGGACCACUUGCACUUGUGCAUCUCUUUUCCAUGCUAGGACAUGAUCCAACAAGGGAUGCUACAAACCUCACGGCCGGCCGUAUCCCUCCGAUAAUCUCCUGCCCGUCAAAGAUCUUGAGACUUUGGGAUGACAUGGGCAGUGCCAAGGACGAAGCGCAAGAUGGCCUGGACGGAUCAUACAAGGAGUUGUACCUGAAAGAGAACCCCGGUGGCGACGCGAAGGGGCAUAUGCUGGCGCUGAUCGAGAGUGAGUGGGGGGAGCUCAACAGGGAGUGCUUCUCCAGGAGGACAUUCCCGCCCAGCAUGACCCGGAUCUCGCUAAACCUCGCGAGGAUGGUGAGGGUCCUCUUUGGCUACGGCGAAGGGCAGACGCUCCCCGUCCUUGAGGAGUACAUAAGGAUGCUCUUGUUAUGA
rnacentral:rRNA from 1 species